UACGGAAGGCAGCAGUGGGGAAUAUUGCACAAUGGGCGCAAGCCUGAUGCAGCCAUGCCGCGUGUAUGAAGAAGGCCUUCGGGUUGUAAAGUACUUUCAGUCGUGAGGAAGGUGUUAAGGUUAAUAACCUUAGCAAUUGACGUUAGCGACAGAAGAAGCACCGGCUAACUCCGUGCCAGCAGCCGCGGUAAUACGGAGGGUGCGAGCGUUAAUCGGAAUUACUGGGCGUAAAGGGCACGCAGGCGGUUAAUUAAGUUGGAUGUGAAAUCCCCGGGCUUAACCUGGGAAUGGCAUUCAAGACUGGUUAGCUAGAGUCUUGUAGAGGGGGUAGAAUUCCAUGUGUAGCGGUGAAAUGCGUAGAGAUGUGGAGGAAUACCGGUGGCGAAGGCGGCCCCUGGACAAAAGGACUGACGCUCAUGUGCGAAAGCGUGGGGAGCAAACAGGGAUUAGAUACC
rnacentral:rRNA from 1 species